rnacentral:lncRNA from 1 species
AUGCUCAACCAUGGCUUAAGAUGGCCACGACCGCCACGUAGAUGUUAACUCUGCCAUAGACAUUGAGUCUGAUUCACCCAACUUUGCAUUAGAAGUAUACAAACCAUAUCGGUUUUGAUUAUGGCGAGCAUUUAGCAAAUAGGUCCGUUCACGCAGUUUUCUUUGUUUCUCGAUUGUACUGUGUUAUCGGGGGCAUUCCUCCUACACGUUGUUGAAGCGAAGCAGUCAAGUCAAGAAAACGUGCGUGUCAAAAUGUCAACCCAGGAUUAUCCCAUCACAUUUGUGUAAAGUUAUGUUUCACCUGCUUUCGAUAUUCAAGUUCUUUAUGCUGAUAAAGUGAUAGAACAAUAGUUUUUCCUGUCUUUUUAUAGGGACAACAGCUCAAAUUAAAGUCAAUGUAGCCUAUCGCCUGGAAAUAGGAAUAGCAUGAAUUGCAAUCUCCAGUCGACACAUAAGUCAAUAUGUGUUAAAGUUCCACAUCUUUCAACAAAAUCAUCUGUAGCCAAUCCGAGAACAUGAGCAACAAAUUUGUUGAAGUCCCUAUCAAGGAGUUGUACCAAAUCAAAAUCUCACGAAAGAGAUGAAAGAUAAAGGAUUGUAAAGGAUAUGCAUCUUUACACCAUAGGUUUAAAGCAGGAGAUUCAGAAAGAAAUGGUGGCGAAUUUUGUAUAUACGGCCGACGAUGGAGUUGACGCUAGCUGUUUGCAACUCGCCUUUUGCGACGUUUUGGUGGCAGGAGAAGCGGAUUAAGAGCUGGAUCCUGGCGAAUCGUCAUUGAUACUCUAAGCUCUAAGAGAUGUCCCUGAGGGAUCUCAGUAUGUUCAAUAUAAUCCCUAGCAAUAUCCGCAGCAACGUCAACCUGCAAAAGGAAAGGACAGAACACUCGAAGGUCACGGAGAAAAACGUGUCAUGCAGCAGUGUAGAGGUUUGUGUAGUUAACUACGGCGUCGCUGUUGGGUGUUGUAUCGUUUAAGGCUGGAUCGACCUCUGGUGUACUGAUGUUUCCUGGGUAUGUCGGAUGCCAAACCACAACGCCGCCGCCUUACUACGCAACAACCGGUUCCUACACCACCAAGGCUCAAGAGUGUUACACCACAAUUCAUGAUGCCCCGAGCUGCAACACCGAAUCCCGAAGUAUAACUCUGCGUGUCGAUGUCUACGCUUUGAGUCACUACGCCCUGAAGUAUUACUCUGCCCCGAGUUACUACACCACCAAGGGGACGGAGACACUUGACUACGCAUGCUGCCCCAUCUUACCACAUCCGAGGCUUCUAACUGCUACACCGAGGCUCCCGCUGAUUACUCCACCAAAACGGUUGAAUACUACACGGUACUUAGCCGCGACUACACCGAAACGGCUAAGUAUUACUCUGCCCCGAUCUACACAACCACAACUGAGGCGGCCAAUUAUUACGCAGUCCCGACUUGCUACACAGAAGCUGCUCUUUCGUGCUACGUUAAACA